CUUGUCCCUUUGGAAAAAAAUUUCCUGCUAUUUCCCUCACUAACAUGAGUUGAUAGACUAAACAGGAUUCUUUCUUUUCCUUUUUACCAGUCUUAAAAUAGCUGUCUCUAAUGCCCUGGGGUAGGCAUCUGAGUCAGAGACAAUUGAGCAUGCGCAACAACGACCUCAUAAUUGAAGUGUGAGGCGUGUUUUCUCAGCACGCUGAUGAGACUGGGGAGAGUAACACCGGUUGAUUGUGGCGCAGGUGUUGCUGAGCCUGAUUAGUUUUAGAGUUGCACUGGCAGAAAGGGAAAUUGAAAAAGAUAAAUGAAGUUAAGUAAAGUAAGAGAGUGAACUGGGUGGACUACAAGUUGUAGGCUGGGCACUUUGGACAGAAUUUAGAGACUGAUCACCUAGUCCAGUCUUAAGAGUUUUUGAGGACUCCCAGCACCAGAGAUUAAAUGGUGUAUUUGCUGCUGGUAAAGCCAUGCAUUUGCCACUGUCCCCUUGAAUGUCAUGGGGUGAAGAAUUAUAAGGGCAGAGAGGAAAAAACUUAGAUAAGCAAGAAGAAAUAGAUUGAUCAACUUCUUCCCAAGCUCGUACCAAUAUGGAAGCUUCACCA
rnacentral:lncRNA from 1 species